rnacentral:rRNA from 1 species
UGAGUGCGAGCUUCUACGGAAGCGAAGUUGGUGACGUCAAGCUUCCAAGAAAAGCCCUAUACCCGUUAAGGCAUGAUUACCUGUACCCGAAACCGACACAGGUGGGGUGGUAGAGAAUACCGAGGGGCGCGAGGUAACUCUCUCUAAGGAACUCGGCAAAAUGACCCCGUAACUUCGGGAGAAGGGGUGCCAGCGCGAGCUGGUCGCAGUGAAUAGGCCCAGGCGACUGUUUACCAAAAACACAGGUCUCCGCUAAGUCGCAAGACGAUGUAUGGGGGCUGACGCCUGCCCAGUGCCGGAAGGUUAAAGAAGUUGGUCAGCGCAAGCGAAGCUAACGACUGAAGCCCCGGUGAACGGCGGCCGUAACAAUAACGGUCCUAAGGUAGCGAAAUUCCUUGUCGGGUAAGUUCCGACCCGCACGAAAGGCGUAACGAUCUGGGCGCUGUCUCGGAGAGAGGCUCGGCGAAAUAGAAUUGUCUGUGAAGAUGCGGACUACGUGCACCCGGACAGAAAGACCCUAUGAAGCUUUACUGUAGCUUGGUAUUGUGCUCGGGCUCGCAAUGCGCAGGAUAGGUGGGAGGCUUUGAUCCAUUGCUUGUGGGUGAUGGUGAGCCACUGGUGAGAUACCACUCUUUGCGAGCUAGGGUUCUAACGGUUACCCGUCAUCCGGGAACCGGACAGUAUCUGGUGGGCAGUUUGACUGGGGCGGUCGCCUCCUAAAAGGUAACGGAGGCGCGCAAAGGUUUGCUCGGGCUGGUUGGAAAUCAGCCGACGAGUGUAAAAGCAGAAGCAAGCUUGACUGUGAGACCUACAAGUCGAACAGGGAGGAAACUCGGCUUUAGUGAUCCGACGGUUCUGAGUGGAAGGGCCGUCGCUCAACGGAUAAAAGUUACUCUAAGGAUAACAGGCUGAUCUCCCCCAAGAGUUCACAUCGACGGGGAGGUUUGGCACCUCGAUGUCGGCUCAUCGCAACCUGGGGCUGAAGUCGGUCCCACGGGUUGGGCUGUUCGCCCAUUAAAGCGGUACGCGAGCUGGGUUCAGAACGUCGUGAGACAGUUCGGUCCAUAUCCGGUGCAUGCGCAGGAAUAUUGAGAGGAUUUCUCCCUAGUACGAGAGGACCGGGAGGAACGCACCUCUGGUGUACCAGUUAUCGUGCCAACGGUAAACGCUGGGUAGCCAUGUGCGGAGUGGAUAACCGCUGAAAGCAUCUAAGUGGGAAGCCCACCUCAAGAUGAGUAUUCCCAUGGCUUAAGCCAGUAAGGUCACGGGAAGAACACCCGUUGAUAGGCUCUAUGUGGAAGCGCAGUAAUGCGUGAAGCAGAGGAGUACUAAUAGACCGAGGGCUUGAUA